UACAGAGACCUCAAGCGUUAUCCGGAAUCAUUGGGCGUAAAGCGUACCGAUAGGUGGUUUCGAAAGUCAGAUGUGAAAUCUCUCAGCUUAACUGGGAGACUGUCUUUUGAAACUUCUAAACUAGGGGGGCAAAGAGGAAGCUGGAACGAACGGUGUAGUAGUGAAAUGCGUUGAUAUCGUGCGGAACACCAAUAGCGUAGGCAGGCUUCUGGGUGCCACCUGACACUGCUAGGACGAAAGCGUGGGGAGCGAAUGGG
rnacentral:rRNA from 1 species